rnacentral:rRNA from 1 species
ACUCAAAUGAAUUGACGGGGGCCCGCACAAGCGGAGGAGCAUGUGGUUUAAUUCGAUGAUACGCGAGGAACCUUACCCGGGCUUGAAUUGCAGCGGAAUAACCUGGAAACAGGUUAGCCUUAGGGCCGCUGUGAAGGUGCUGCAUGGUUGUCGUCAGCUCGUGCCGUGAGGUGUUAGGUUAAGUCCUGCAACGAGCGCAACCCUUACACUUAGUUGCCAGCACGUUAUGGUGGGAACUCUAAGUGAACUGCCUACGCAAGUAGAGAGGAAGGUGGGGAUGACGUCAAAUCAGCACGGCCCUUAUGUCCGGGGCUACACACGUGCUACAAUGGUCGGUACAGAGGGCUGCUACCCUGCAAAGGGAUGCCAAUCUCAAAAGCCGAUCUCAGUUCGGAUCGGAGUCUGUAACUCGACUCCGUGAAGUUGGAUUCGCUAGUAAUCGCACAUCAGCCAUGGUGCGGUGAAUACGUUCCCGGGCCUUGUACACACCGCCCGU